rnacentral:rRNA from 1 species
CCCUUAGAUGUCCGGGGCCGCACGCGCGCUACAAUGGAUGAAUCAACGCGUCAUCCUGGCCCGAAAGGGUUGGGGAACCGCUGAACCUCAUCCGUGGUUGGGAUUGGGGUUUGUAAUUAUUCCCCAUGAACUAGGAAUUCCCAGUAAGCGCGAGUCAUAAGCUCGCGUUGAUUACGUCCCUGCCCUUUGUACACACCGCCCGUCGCUACUACCGAUUGGAUGGUUUAGUGAGAUCCUCGGAUUGGUCACGGCACGGUGGCAACACUGCGUCGGUGUGCCGAGAAGACGAUCAAACUUGAUCAUCUAGAGGAAGUAAAAGUCGGAACA